ACGGAAGGCAGCAGUGGGGAAUAUUGCACAAUGGGCGAAAGCCUGAUGCAGCGACGCCGCGUGAGUGAUGAAGUAUUUCGGUAUGUAAAACUCUAUCAGCAGGGAAGAAAAUGACGGUACCUGACUAAGAAGCACCGGCUAAAUACGUGCCAGCAGCCGCGGUAAUACGUAUGGUGCAAGCGUUAUCCGGAUUUACUGGGUGUAAAGGGAGCGCAGGCGGCGUGGCAAGUCUGAUGUGAAAGCCCGGGGCUCAACCCCGGUACUGCAUUGGAAACUGUCAUGCUAGAGUGUCGGAGGGGUAAGCGGAAUUCCUAGUGUAGCGGUGAAAUGCGUAGAUAUUAGGAGGAACACCGGUGGCGAAGGCGGCUUACUGGACGAUGACUGACGCUGAGGCUCGAAAGCGUGGGGAGCAAACAGGAUUAGAUACCCUGGUA
rnacentral:rRNA from 1 species